UCCCUGGUGGCUCAGUGGUAAAGAAUCUGCCUACCAAUGCAGGAAACUCAGGUUCGAUUCCUGGUUCAGGAA
rfam:Ovis aries breed Texel chromosome 2, whole genome shotgun sequence.